CAGUCGCCGCGAUAAUACGUAGGGUGCAAGCGUUAAUCGGAAUUACUGGGCGUAAAGCGUGCGCAGGCGGUUAUAUAAGACAGAUGUGAAAUCCCCGGGCUCAACCUGGGAACUGCAUUUGUGACUGUAUAGCUAGAGUACGGCAGAGGGGGAUGGAAUUCCGCGUGUAGCAGUGAAAUGCGUAGAUAUGCGGAGGAACACCGAUGGCGAAGGCAAUCCCCUGGGCCUGUACUGACGCUCAUGCACGAAAGCGUGGGGAGCAAACAGGAUUAGAUACCCGCGUAGUCCCUGUCUCUUAUAC
rnacentral:rRNA from 1 species